rnacentral:tRNA from 1 species
GGGUGUUUAGAUACGGUACAAUACGCUUUACACGCAGGGGGUCAGAGGUUCGAGUCCUCUACCGCCCACCA